ensembl:lncRNA MIR4500HG MIR4500 host gene
GGCGCAACCGGGGCCCCCUUGGAUGUCACAUUCGUAGGAAGAGAGAGAAGUCUUGGACCAUGUGUGUAAUUCGAGCGUGGGACUGUGCAAUUCUCGGAUUGGGAAAGGGAGGAGUGGAAAUAACCCCGGCAGUGCCAGGCUUGCUGGUGGUCAGGAACAGAUGAUUCCAGCCCUGUGCUGAUCGCCUGCCUUCCUCCUGCCAUUCAGAAUGCUGCUGUCUCGUGUACUUACUGUUAAGGAUCCUGGAAAAGGGAGUGGUUCCUCCUAGCUGCAAACAAGGGCGCUACUUUUCUUUUCUCUUUAAUAGAAUUACGUUUUAUAGGUGUGUCUAGGCAACACAAGGGAAUGUGAAAGACUUUCAGAGGGAAUGUUUGUGAAUACAUCUGGUGUGUACUAAAAAGCUGGAAAACCCCUAAGUAAAUGCAAUAUCGAUAGAAAGCGAGUUUCUUGAAGAGUCAUCUGCUAAACUCCACUAGAGUCAUCUCUACAGGUGUGGUUAAGAGAAAAAAAAAUUGCCAUUAAGGAAUCAGCAAAUAGGAUGUCUGAAGUGAGGAUAUAGCACCUAUCUCUGAGAUUAAAGUCAUCUGAUCAAAAAUGAUGCCUCUGAGACUAUAACAAAGGAAUGAAUAAUGAAAUAUAAGAAUGGGGAUUCUGCACUAACUCUAUGGGGAAGAAAACAAUGAUAACAAUAUCAACUGAAUAUAAAAUAUUAAUGCCAUGGAUGAUCUCAGAAAUGAUUUCCUACAAAGUCCCAACCUAUCCUGGAACAUUUCUUAUGUGUGCUUGGGAGCUGGAUUGCAGUGUCAUGACCUGGGCUCAGUGUAACUUCCAUCUGCCAGGCUCAAGAGAUCCUCCCGCCUCAGCGUCUCGAGUAGCUGGGACUACAGGAACGUGCCACCAGGCCUGGCUAAUUUUUUAUUUUUUUUGUGAAGACGGGGUUUCACUAUGUGGCUCAGGCUGGUCUCAAACUCCAGGAAUCAAGGGACCCACCUGCCUAGGCCUCCCAAAGUGCUGGGAUUACAGGCAUGAGCUACCGCACCAGGGCUGUAUGUAAUUAUUUAAUAUUGUUUGUCUUAGCCAUAUAUCAGGUUGUUUAUAAACAACAGAAAUUUAUUUCACACAGUUCUGUAAGCUAGAAAAUCCACAAUUAAGGCGUCAUCAGAUUUGAUGUCCAGGGAGGGCCCACUUUCCCAUAAUGACACCCUCUCACUCUGUCCUCACAGGGUGAAAGGGGUUAGUUAGCUUUUUGAGGUCUCUUUGUAAGGGCAGUAAUCCUAUUCACAGAGGCUCUGCCCUCCUGAUCUAGUCACCUCCCAAAGGCCCCACCUCCUAAUAGCAUCACAUUGAGGAUUAGGUUUUAAUGUAUAAUUUUUGGAGGGACACAAACAUUCAAACCAUUGCAUAGGUAUAGGAUAUGUAAGACUACAUUUGUAAUAUUUUUCUUGCCCCCAUAAAUAUUGUCACAUACCAAAAUAUGACAGAUUAUUUUUCUAUUAGUUUAUAAGUUGUCAGGAUAUAGGAUCUGUGACUGAACCUAAUAGAGAGGGAUGCCCAUUAACCACAGAUUCUGAGAUUUGUGAUGGAAGAGGUAAUAGGAUAGGACCUUGGGCUUUGUCCUUUGGCGGAAGAAUGAGUUCACUUUGUUGGAAGCAGAGUGUGCACCAAUAAAUGGUUGCCAUAGGAUGGACUCUGGCAGCCUACCAGUUAUUCCCUUCAAAUCUUUUCCCCUCUUUUUUUCUGGGCACAUGGCUACAAAGCUGUGAACAAUUUCUGUUGUCCUCACACGUAUUAGCCAUGUGAAGCUCUGUAAUAAGUUCUCACCAAUGGAAUAUGAACAA